rnacentral:rRNA from 1 species
UACGUAGGGGGCUAGCGUUGUCCGGAUUUAUUGGGCGUAAAGAGCGUGUAGGCGGCCAGGUAGGUCUGCUGUGAAAACUCGAGGCUUAACCUCGAGAUGUCGGCGGAAACCAUCUGGCUAGAGUCCGGAAGAGGAGAGCGGAAUUCCUGGUGUAGCGGUGAAAUGCGCAGAUAUCAGGAGGAACACCAAUAGCGAAGGCAGCUCGCUGGGACGGUACUGACGCUAAGGCGCGAAAGCGUGGGGAGCGAACAGG